rnacentral:rRNA from 1 species
CCUACGGGCGGCAGCAGUAGGGAAUAUUGCACAAUGGGCGAAACCCUGAUGCAGCAACGCCGCGUGGAGGAUGAAGGUUUUCGGGUUGUAAACUGCUUUUAUUAGAGAGGAUGAUGACGGUAUCUAACGAAUAAGCACCGGCUAACUCCGUGCCAGCAGCCGCGGUCAUACGGAGGGUGCAAGCGUUACUCGGAAUCACUGGGCGUAAAGAGCGCGUAGGCGGGAUAGCAAGUCAGAUGUGAAAUCCUAGGGCUUAACCAUAGAACUGCAUUUGAAACUGUUAUUCUCGAGUAUGGUAGAGGUAGGUGGAAUUCCUGGUGUAGGGGUAAAAUCCGUAGAGAUCAAGAGGAAUACUCAUGGCGAAGGCGACCUGCUAGAACAUGACUGACGCUGAGGCGCGAAAGCGUGGGGAGCAAACAGGAUUAGAUACCCGUGUAGUC